CAUUAAAAGGUUGGUCACAUUUCAAGCAAGCAAAGGUGCUCAAGCUUUUCUAUUUUUGGCAUGAACUAAUUGCAUGAAUCCUUACAUCUGGAUGUGUUUGGUGGCUGUUCUACUAGGUAUUGGCUAUUCCCCUCAAAGAAAUUUUUGUGUGCUAAAUUUACAAAACUCUCUCAUGUCAUAUUUGGAUGUUGUCAAAGUGGUUAUUUAUUGGUAUGGUUCCAUGAAACUCAAGCCUACAAAUUAUUAGUUGAUGGUUAUUUUUGCAACUUGAGGGUAGUGAUGAAAUGAUUGGGAGUAAGUGAGUUGAAGGUUAAGAGAUUGGGAUUGAUGGAGUGUAUUGUGUAGUACUUGAGGGCAAGCACAAGAUAAGUGUGGGGGAGUUUGAUAGUGGCUAAAAAGGACAUCAUUGUCACCCACUUUUGGGUUAUUAAACUUGAUGGUAUGUUAUCUAAUCUGAGUUAUUUUCUAUGACUUAUUGCCAGUACGGGAUAUAAGGAUAAAAGAAGGAAAAACAACAUGAAAAAAGGAAAAUUUUAUGAAAAUAACCAUCAGUCCAGAAACAAGCCUUGGCAAAGCUUGGGUCCUGUCACAGACAACUUAGCCUUGGAUAAGGCUAAGAGUCGCGAACAAC
rnacentral:lncRNA from 1 species